rnacentral:snRNA from 1 species
AUCGCUUCUCGGCCUAUCUGGCUUUGAUCGUAUGUGUAGUAUCUGUUCUUAUCAGCUUAAUAUCUGAUAGGGGCCCUAUAUGGGUCCUAUAUGGGUCCCGCU